rnacentral:rRNA from 1 species
AAUGAACGCUGGCGGCAUGCCUAACACAUGCAAGUCGAACGAAGGCUUCGGCCUUAGUGGCGCACGGGUGCGUAACGCGUGGGAAUCUGCCCUUGGGUUCGGAAUAACUCGCCGAAAGGCGUGCUAAUACCGAAUGAUGACGUAAGUCCAAGGAUUUAUCGCCCAGGGAUGAGCCCGCGUAGGAUUAGCUUGUUGGUGAGGUAAAAGCUCACCAAGGCGACGAUCCUUAGCNGGUCUGAGAGGAUGAUCAGCCACACUGGGACUGAGACACGGCCCAGACUCCUACGGGAGGCAGCAGUGGGGAAUAUUGGACAAUGGGCGAAAGCCUGAUCCAGCAAUGCCGCGUGAGUGAUGAAGGCCUUAGGGUUGUAAAGCUCUUUUACCCGGGAUGAUAAUGACAGUACCGGGAGAAUAAGCUCCGGCUAACUUCGUGCCAGCAGCCGCCGCGGUAAU